GUCUGGAUUGUCCAAAUUACAAACCCAUUCAGACGAUUCUGCGGGAUCUGAUCCCACCGAAUAUUCUUUGUCGACGCGCAAAUCCGGCUGUCCAUCCUUUACUUCAAUCAAUCACAACCGUCGGAUAAACCUAAUAUUCCGCUAUAAAAACAGUUUCUUCUUUUUCUCCUUUCCUCGUAUUUCAUUCAAUCUCGCUGUUUCUCCUAGAUCUGUUCCUCUCCUCGUUUGCUUCAAUUUCUUGACCCAGAUUCGAUCAAAUCGCUUCUUCAACUGCGUUCCGAUUAUGGCUUCUUGCCAUUUUGUUCUAUUUUUCGCUUUUGAUCGCUGUCUUCCUAUUCCACAGACUUCCGUUCGUUUGAGUUUGGGUGACCGAAACGCGUCCGAGGGUAUGUUUGGUAGGUCUGCUUUGGUUCUUGGCUUCUUUUGAGUCUGAAGAGAGAUGAUUUUUGUUGUUUUAUUCAAGCAGUCACAGAUGAAUUCGGAUCCGUUCAGUUUCUAUUUUCAAUGGUUUAAUUUCGUUUAGAGGUGUGGUAAAGAUACCAAAUGGAAACUCUUUCUUUGUAAUUGUUUUUGUUUUCGUUCGUGGUUAUGUUUAUUAACUUUCUUUCGCCUGAUCAGUUAUUAGCCCUGAUUUUUGGGUUAUUGCUGGGUUGUCAAAAGGGGAUGAUUUGUACACAGGAGCAAUCGAACCGCUCAAAUUCGGCUUCAGCGUCCUAUCCCAAUCUCGAGGGCUAUGUCUCAGACCAUCGUUGACAAAGAGACCCUAACCCUGCAUACGAGCUUGUGAUCGGCCGGGGAAUCGGAUCGUUUAGCGCAGAAGACACUUUUGACCGUGGAAAUAUACUUUCAUUGCCUGAUUGUUAUAGUAUCUUCUGUUAUUACAUCAAUCUGAUCCAUUGAGAGGCGUGGUGUGUGGCACAAGCAGGUAUAGUAUGUUGUAGGAUAUGAUAAGAUGGUUGUAGUCAUGUAUCGACCUUUGCCAUGAUGGGUGCGCUCGCAUGGCAGGUCAAAUACGCUCAAUAAAAUCUUCAUUUUUGGGGGGGUUUUUGGGGGAGACAGCCCUGGAGUCUUCUUUUCCUUUUGGGCUGGCCUCCUCCCUUGUGUGUGUGCGUUCUCUCUCUCUCUCUCUCUCUCUCUCUCUCUCUAGCAAGCUAUUCGGCAAUAUCUAUGCAACAAAAUGCGUCCUUGGGUUGUGUCUAUAACAAUUGUCCCAAAGAGAGGAUACAGAUGAAGCUUCACUAGCUCUAUUUGGGUAUACGUGAUCGGAUAUCUGUUCCUGAUUUCCACCGAAAAGGUACAUCAAUCUGCUAUGUUAAGUUAUUAACCCGAAAAGGUAUUAUCUGCUGUUUGAAUUUGAACAAAAAGUGCAUCAAUCUCUGCUAUUUUGAUCUAGACGGAAUAUAGUCAGAGCUAUUUCAACCCUGUUAUUCCAUAAGCAUUGCCCUUUAAUAUGCUAUCUAUUCAUUAUGCUUUUACUGAGCAUAAGGAUUUUUAGCUUACUCUUCAAACGAAGUUACAAAUAUCAAAGGUAGCAAGCCUUUUCAACUACAAUAUGCCCUAUUGAGGUAAAAAUUCAGUUCUCUGCUAUUUACAACCCAGAAGAUGCAAUCUGCUCUGUCCCUCGGUUUUAAACAUCGUAUUGAUCUUAUUGCCAGGAGUAUGCAUCUUAAUGAACUGAAUGAAACAUGAACCGACCAUGUCUAGGUGGAAUAGAUGAACCAAUUAGUGACUCCAUGUCGAGAUGCAGUACAUUAUGAAAUAUGAUGAGAAAUAUUAACGGGGGAUAAUCAGCAUUUAUGCUUAUUAGUUGGCACCUGCACAUACGGACACACUGGAUAAUCAGCAGUUAUGCUUAUUAGCUGCUUUCUGUUUAAUGAUAGUAGUCCAUGAAUUUGAUCAAAUUGAAAUUUGUUUAUAUGCUUUCAAUGAAAAUCUAUAUCUUGCAAUGGUUCAAGAAUGAGGAAUGCAAAUUUCAGUUGAAUGUUUCUUUCCUGUUGUCCACUGUUCAUUUUCUUGUACAAAUCCGCCUGCCAUGAUUUUAUACUCAUGAUGAGUUUUGGGGGUGGUCUUUAUCAUCAUACUCCUUAGUUUUAGGUUUGGGGUGUUCAUUAUUGUACUCCACUUUCAUCAGCGGAUAUGUAAAUCCAAUUGUGGGGCUGGUGACCCAUGUCCUGUUGUGGAAGUUUUAUGUCUCGUACUGUAAGUUCUUCUUGAUGAUGAUGGUCACCUUCUGUAUAGCAAUGUGCUCCCCGGUGGCUUGAAUUGGGUUCUCUUCCUUUGUCGCACCAGAAUCACUGCUGUUCGAUUUCCAGAUCAAGUUUCAGAAGCAUAAAAUAUGGAGUUGCUCUGCCAGUCAGCCACACGAACUAGUUGUUUUGGCUUGCAGAGAUUGAUUGUUUUUUUCGUCUUAACUUGCCAAUCCAGGUCGUUGAGGUGUUCUGUUGGGUAUCACAGGAAAGGUAAUAUCAGGACAGGGGGUCACAGAAUAGACUGCUUCUGUCGUUCAAUGCUGGCAGAUCUCUGGUCCUUGUUGGCAGGAGAAAUUCUAUUGUUUUGUGUUAGAUUUUUUGUUACAGAGUUGCUGAGAUGUAUUGUUUAGUGGUGUAAUUCUUGUGAAUGUUCUGCAACAGAGUGUCAUUGCUGUGAUUCUCUCUUGUCUGUAGGAGCAGAAGACCUUGAUGAAGGAUCAUUUUUUCACUUAUAUGGAUAGAGAAUGGGAAUUUCUUUUGCUGAACCUUGGACCAGCUUAAAAGUGUGAAACAAAUGGUUUUGGCCCCAAGAUUGUGAUUUUUUUUUUUGGGGGUGUUUUGUGGUUUUUGAUGACCGUACAAGGUAAGAUGGAAUUCAUGAACCAAGAUUUUUAUCCCCAUUUGUUGUUUCUAUGUAAUCUGGUUCUUACCACCAUGUUUUGCCAGCGUUUCUAGCUUACUCGGUUAUGUAUAUUUUUAUUUGUCAGUGUGAUUUUGUAUUGUUAUUUUAGCCCUUUCAAGUUGCUUGGAUUACAACUAAGGACACGUUUGACACGCACGAAUGGACUCAGCAGUUAUUUAGUGUUGCACAUCAAUCACCGGGAAUAGCUAUUACCACAAAAUGAAGAAUUGCUAUUCUUCCGAAAAAUGAGAGGAAUAGUUAUUUCCUAGGAAUGGAAUAACAUUUUGGUCUCUGGUUUACUUGUAAGUUUUACUGGGUACGCCUUAUAUACUGCUUUUGCAAUUGGGGUGCACCCCCUGCUGUUAGGGUUGCCGACCACUCCCAAGGGGGUGGUUGGCCAUCCAUGAAGAUGAAGGGUUUCUCUCUCUCUCUCUCUCUCUCUCUCUCUCUCUCUCUCUCUCUCUCUCUCUCUCUCUCUAAUUUAGUUUUUAAUAUUUUAAUUUUUGGGUGCCCUUUCUUUGGGUGAAAUGAUGGACCCAAGAACUAAUGUAUUUUAGGAAAUUUUGUCUUUUUUGUGUUAUCACUAAACUAAAUUGUCAUUCUAUUACAGCAGCUUGUAUUUCUAGUAGUACCCAUUCUUAUUCCUAGGAAAUCACCAUUCUAGCGUACCAAAUUUUGCUCAAGUUUAUUUCUUCUAGCUUCCCCAUAUUUGAGAUUUUUAUCAUUGUUAAUUUUGUAUGGCUGCCUUAAUAAUGACCACCGAACUUUGUUUUGAUAGUUGACGUUUUAUCCUUCCUCAAAGAUAAUUAGACGUAAGUUGAGAUUAUGUUGUUGCUGUAGAUGUCAGUAGUGUUGAAUUAGGUUUUUUCACAAAAAGUUAUAUUUUAUCCACUCCUUUAAGACAUCGUCUCUUUGUGGCACAACACUUGAAUGUUGUUUUUGGCUGAAGAGACUCUUCAUGCUAGUGGAUCUUUGGACACAUGCUUGGAAUUGAGUUUUUGCUGAAGUGGGCUUUAUGUGAAUGUGUUUUCUUGGCUAUUCAUCUUGCUAGGAUGAUGAAAGAUUGAAGACCGGUAAAGGGAAAACGCAAUUCAUGGUAUGGUCAUCCCCAUUUGUAGUUUCAAUGCUAUAUUAUUUGGUUCUUGGUUCCAAACUUUUUUAACUGUUAUACGCGUGUAAAUUCUGUUUGGCUUGGCUUUUCAGGAGAUCCGCGAGGAUCAUAUCAUAUGUUCUGUUUUAGACUUUUGAUGUUUUACUUUUUACUGGCUUACAUCUUGUAAUUAUUUUAGUCAAACUGUGUUUGUUAUUGUAGUUAACAUGGGGAACUAUAUUGUGGGGCUAUGGAUGGUGUCAUGGGAUACAUUGUUUUUUGAGCUCUAGGCACUUCAGUUACCCAAACAGGACAGUCAAAACCGACAGAAAUUACCUACAAAUUAGUUUGUAGGAAAUUAAUUCUUACAAGUCAGUCUAAUAAAGUGUCGUGUUCCUAAA